GGAUGUGAGGGUGAUCUGGCUGGGACAUCUGUGGUCCCACUGAUCAUGAGGGUUGAUUUCACUGAUCUGGCUGGCCAAGUGAAUGUCCCAUUCUUCAUCUUCCAUAUGUGUCCCUUCCAAAGCUUCGAUGUGUGUGCUUGGUCAAAGAAGACAACCACUUCUGAUAGAGGAGGACCUUUUUCUGGGUCAAGGGCAUAGGAGUAGCUGCACUCCCUCCCCUGCUAGAACCUCCAAACAUGUGUUACGUCAAAGGCUGGUCCACCUCAGUGUCUCAGAACUAAGUUUCCUGCAUCCGUUGCCUGAGGAACUUU
ensembl:misc_RNA 7SK 7SK RNA